UAGGGAAUCUUCGGCAAUGGACGAAAGUCUGACCGAGCAACGCCGCGCGAGUGAAGAAGGUUUUCGGAUCGUAAAACUCUGUUGUUAGAGAAGAACAAGGACGUUAGUAACUGAACGUCCCCUGACGGUAUCUAACCAGAAAGCCACGGCUAACUACGUGCCAGCAGCCGCGGUAAUACGUAGGUGGCAAGCGUUGUCCGGAUUUAUUGGGCGUAAAGCGAGCGCAGGCGGUUUCUUAAGUCUGAUGUGAAAGCCCCCGGCUCAACCGGGGAGGGUCAUUGGAAACUGGGAGACUUGAGUGCAGAAGAGGAGAGGGGAAUUCCAUGUGUAGCGGUGAAAUGCGUAGAUAUAUGGAGGAACACCAGUGGCGAAGGCGGCUCUCUGGUCUGUAACUGACGCUGAGGCUCGAAAGCGUGGGGAGCAAACAGG
rnacentral:rRNA from 1 species